rnacentral:lncRNA from 1 species
CACAAACUACUUUUUGUUUUCUAUUAAUUACAUAAACUUCUAAAAUUUUCAGAUUUUACACAUCGAUUUAGACGAUGCCAACUAUGUUUAGCAGAAGUGAAGACAAUUUUAGUGUUUAAUUGAGCAUGUGGUUAAACUGUGAAGAAACAAUUCUUUAAAAGUCCUCCAAUAGAUUAUAUUGUUAGUUUUCUUCUCCAUUACGCUUCCAUAGUGCAAUUUUUUUUUAUGAAAUUUCAAAAUUUUUUGAUCAUAGUAAAAAGAAUAUACGUAGAACUUAAUUCAUAACACUAAACUUAUUUAUCAUAGUGUAAAUUAACCUUGAAUCAUUAUCACUACUAUCAAAGCAAAGAACAAGAAUUAGAAAUGCAUAACACUAAACUAAUUCCAAAAUCAGAAACUCGUUUAAAAUUACGUAGUUUUCUUCGUCCUUUUUUACAACAUGGAAAUCGACUCCACUUCGAAUCAA